rnacentral:rRNA from 1 species
UACGUAGGGUGCAAGCGUUGUCCGGAAUUAUUGGGCGUAAAGAGCUCGUAGGCGGUUUGUUGCGUCGGCUGUGAAAUCCCAAGGCUCAACCUCGGGUCUGCAGUCGAUACGAGCAAACUAGAGUGUUGCAGGGGAGACUGGAAUUCCUGGUGUAGCGGUGAAAUGCGCAGAUAUCAGGAGGAACACCGGUGGCGAAGGCGGGUCUCUGGGCAACAACUGACGCUGAGGAGCGAAAGCGUGGGGAGCGAACAGG